UACGGAGGGUGCAAGCGUUAUCCGGAUUCACUGGGUUUAAAGGGUGCGUAGGUGGGUUGUGAAGUCAGUGGUGAAAUCUCCAAGCUUAACUUGGAACUGCCGUUGAUACUAUAAUCUUGAAUGUCGUGGAGGUGAGCGGAAUAUGUCAUGUAGCGGUGAAAUGCUUAGAUAUGACAUAGAACACCAAUUGCGAAGGCAGCUC
rnacentral:rRNA from 1 species